AUAUUAAUUUAUCUUCCUCUCAGGUGACUGUGUGGACAAUACAGUUGAAAAGCCAAGGAAACUGACAAAUAAUAGGAAGAGAAGCACCAGCACAUCAGAGGAAGAGUUGCCCAAAAAGAGACGUCGAUGUGCAGAUGAGUCAGACGGAGUGCGGACAGUGCAGGUCCCAGACGUGUCGUCCAAGCAGCUGAUGCAGGUGGCUAAGCUGCAGGGGAAGGAGUGGAAGCAGGUGGCUAUCGGUUGCCUGGGCCU